rnacentral:tRNA from 1 species
GUCCCCGUAGUUCAAUGGAUAGAACAUCGGACUUCUAAGCCGGGUAUGUUGGUUCGAUUCCAACCGGGGACACCA